ensembl:lncRNA
UGCUGCCUGGAGAAGGCCAUUUCCAAGUAGGCCAAGAGUGAGGGAUGGAGUCGUGACCCCCGUUAGUCCCUCCUCCCUGUUUCCAGGAGUGGAAGGUGUGCAUGACGGGUGUCAGUGCACCUGGAAACACCAGCCAGGGGAUUUCUCUUGCCUUGUGAUCUCUGGGUCUCCCGGGAGGCUGAUUGGAACUCAUCUGUGCUGACCCUGCGCCGGGCCAGGGGCGAGUGUGGACUGGCCUUCCCGCGGACAGCAGUGGCCUCCCCAGGGGCGCUCGCUCGCGCUCACGACACUGCAGGCGGGACAGGAAACUUUCCAGCUGCCGUUCUGGAUUCUGCAACGAUUCUCAUCAUCGUUAGAAGCCCUUCAGCCUCUCCUUUGUGUUGUCGCCGUCAGACAAACACAGUCGGUCUUCGAGUUGGUUUUCUGGAGUGAAGAGGAGACUACCCCAGCCCAGCCAGGCGUGUGCUAAUCAGCCGCAGGCAUGCGCAUCAGAUACCAGCCCAGGGGGCGAGAUGUAGUCACGUCUUCAUUUCCCGUGAAGUCCGACCAACUCUUUAUGCUUCCAGGCUGGUGGGAGCUGGACCUCAGGCAGGUGUGGAGUCUCCUCCUCCAGGAUGCCAUCACCGUGGGACGUUCGCGGUGGGAGGUGGGGCCCACCCUUCAAGACAGAAAGGGAUGAGGGCUGAAGCGCACUUCUUACUGGAUGUUGAGAGCCAGGUUCAUCACAGCAGGAGCAUCCUCUCAGACUGAGUUCGCGCUGAACACAAAGCCAGCAAGUACCACUCACCACAUCUGUGAGCUGAGCGCCCUUAUUUCUUAAUUAACACCUCUCACUGCCCAAACCUCCCCCUGCCCUCCCCGGAACAGAAUUCCACAUCACAUCGAAGUGAUAGGCAUUCAGGGGAAGAACAGAAUCACUUAACUGGGUCUUAUUAUCAAGAGAAAGAAAAAAAAUUCUCUGUUAAAUAACCCUGUAAAUGCCUUAACUGUAUUUUGUAAACAAAACACUUUCACCUCAUUACUCCACAAGAUACCCUGAAAGUUUCACAUGACAGGAAGGGUAUUCUCAGAGGAAGCACUGAGAAAAGUCUCUCAUAGGUGCCAGCAAGUGCACAAAAACGGAAAUGACAUGUUUUCUUGGUGGAGAAAACCUCUUGGGGCAAAACAUUGCCUAAAAUUGUAAUUUGCUAACUGCGGUAACGCCUGACUUACCCGGAAAACGGGUGAGGGACAAACCGAGGACGUGUUUUCAGAUAACAUAACUUCUGCUGAUUUCUUCAAGAGCUAUAUUCACUCCCUCGAAAUUUGCAUUUAUCGAUUCUUGCUUCCUAAUGAAUUAUUCGUAUGCCUAAACUGUGUCUUGUUUCCUCUGGCUUACUUUUGAACUCUAUAAAAGGACACCACAUUGUGUGUAGUCUCCCGGGUCUUGCUUUUUGUAUACGACUUGGUCACUGAGAUCCAUGCUGUGGUGCGUCGCUGCUGCUCAACCAUUUAAGCAGCUGGACGGCAUUCCUUUUCAAAUAGACCACAACGUAUUCCUCCCUUCUUCCACUGGUGCACUUUUCAUCGUCUCAGAGUCCUGGCUGCCGU